rnacentral:rRNA from 1 species
CCCUAUGGGGUGCAGCAGGCGCGAAACCUCCUCAAUGCACAAACGUGCGAAGGGGUUACCUCGAGUGCUACCUGAAGAAGGUGGCUUUUCCUUGGUCUAAAAAGCCUUGGGAAUAAGAGGGGGGCAAGACUGGUGUCAGCCGCCGCGGUAACACCAGCCCCUCGAGUGGUGGGGAUGAUUAUUUGGUCUAAAGCGUCCGUAGCCGGCCGAGUAAGUUUCCCGUUAAAUCCAAUGUCUCAAGCGUUGGACUGCGGGAAAUACUGCUCGGCUAGAGAGUGGGAGAGGCCAACGGUAUUCUGGGGGUAGGGGCGAAAUCCUUUGAUCCCCGGAGGACCACCAGUGGCGAAGGCUGUUGGCUAGAACACGUCUGACGGUCAGGGACGAAAGCUGGGGUAGCGAACCGGAUUAGAUACCCGGGUAGUCCCAGCCGUAAACGAUGCAUGCUAGGUGUUAGGUUGGCCACGUGCCACCCUAGUGCCGCAGGGAAGCCAUUAAGCAUGCCACCUGGGGAGUACGGCCGCAAGGCUGAAACUUAAAGGAAUUGGCGGGGGAGCACCACCAGGCGUGAAGCCUGCGGUUUAAUUGGAGUCAACGCCGGGAACCUUACCGGGAGCGACAGCAGAGUGAAGACCAGGUUGAAGACCUUGUCAGACAGCUGAGAGGAGUGCAUGGCCA